rnacentral:rRNA from 1 species
GACGAACGCUGUCGGCGCGCCUAACACAUGCAAGUCGAACGAUUUGUAAAAGAGCUUGCUCUUUUACAAAGAGUGGCGGACGGGUGAGUAACGCGUGAGUAACCUGCCUUUUAGAGGGGGAUAACGUCUGGAAACGGACGCUAAUCCCGCAUCAUGUAGCGGUGUCGCAUGGCACUGUUACCAAAGGAGCAAUCCGCUAAAAGAUGGACUCGCGUCCAAUUAGCUAGUUGGUGGGGUAAUGGCCCACCAAGGCGACGAUUGGUAGCCGGACUGAGAGGUCGAACGGCCACAUUGGGACUGAGACACGGCCCAGACUCCUACGGGAGGCAGCAGUGGGGAAUAUUGCACAAUGGGGGAAACCCUGAUGCAGCGACGCCGAGUGAGGGAAGAAGGUUUUCGGAUUGUAAACCUCUGUCUUUGGUGAAGAAAAUGACGGUAGCCAAAGAGGAAGCUACGGCUAACUACGUGCCAGCAGCAGCCGCGGUAACAC